rnacentral:rRNA from 1 species
CAGGCUUAACACAUGCAAGUCGAGGGGCAGCAUGGUCUUAGCUUGCUAAGACUGAUGGCGACCGGCGCACGGGUGAGUAACACGUAUCCAACCUGCCGUCUACUCUUGGACAGCCUUCUGAAAGGAAGAUUAAUACAAGAUGGCAUCAUGAGUCCGCAUGUUCACAUGAUUAAAGGUAUUCCGGUAGACGAUGGGGAUGCGUUCCAUUAGAUAGUAGGCGGGGUAACGGCCCACCUAGUCUUCGAUGGAUAGGGGUUCUGAGAGGAAGGUCCCCCACAUUGGAACUGAGACACGGUCCAAACUCCUACGGGAGGCAGCAGUGAGGAAUAUUGGUCAAUGGGCGAGAGCCUGAACCAGCCAAGUAGCGUGAAGGAUGACUGCCCUAUGGGUUGUAAACUUCUUUUAUAAAGGAAUAAAGUCGGGUAUGUAUACCCGUUUGCAUGUACUUUAUGAAUAAGGAUCGGCUAACUCCGUGCCAGCAGCCGCGGUAAUACGGAGGAUCCGAGCGUUAUCCGGAUUUAUUGGGUUUAAAGGGAGCGUAGAUGGAUGUUUAAGUCAGUUGUGAAAGUUUGCGGCUCAACCGUAAAAUUGCAGUUGAUACUGGAUAUCUUGAGUGCAGUUGAGGCAGGCGGAAUUCGUGGUGUAGCGGUGAAAUGCUUAGAUAUCACGAAGAACUCCGAUUGCGAAGGCAGCCUGCUAAGCUGCAACUGACAUUGAGGCUCGAAAGUGUGGGUAUCAAACAGGAUUAGAUACCCUGGUAGUCCACACGGUAAACGAUGAAUACUCGCUGUUUGCGAUAUACU